AGCUCCAAUAGCGUAUAUUAAAGUUGUUGCAGUUAAAAAGCUCGUAGUUGGAUUUGGGACUGGAGUCGUCGGGUCGGCCGCGAGGUCUGUUACUGGACGGCUCCGUCAUUUCAUCUCUCGGAGACCCGUCGUGCACUUCGCUGUGCGCGGCGCGGGACUCGGGACGUUUACUUUGAAAAAAUUAGAGUGUUCAAAGCAGGCUAUCGCUUGAAUACAUGAGCAUGGAAUAAUGGAAUAGGACUUUGGUCUUAUUUUGUUGGUUUCCGAGACCGAAGUAAUGAUUAAGAGGGACAAUUGGGGGCAUCCGUAUUUCGUUGUCAGAGGUGAAAUUCUUGGAUUUACGAAAGACGAACAACUGCGAAAGCAUUCGCCAAGAGUGUUUUCAUUAAUCAAGAACGAA
rnacentral:rRNA from 1 species